rnacentral:misc_RNA from 1 species
AGGACAACUCCUCUACCCCUG